UGACUUUGGUCAAAGUCAAACUACUCUAAGCUUGACUAAUUUUGUAGAAAAAAGUAGUAAUAUUUUUAACCCAAGACUAGUAGUAUUAUAAAAAUUUAUUAAAUUAUAGAUUUAAUGAAACUAUGUUGGUGUUGUAAAUAUUACUACCUUUUUCUAUAGAGUUAGUUCAACUUAGAGUAGUUUGACUUUGACCAAAGUCAA
rfam:Oryza sativa (indica cultivar-group) chromosome 2, whole genome shotgun sequence.